GAACGAGAAAGUGGAGCAAUCCAUGAGUAAAGUGGCGACCGGGUGAGUAACACGUGACUAACCUACCCUAGAGUGGGGGAUAACCUCGGGAAACCGGGGCUAAUACCGCAUAACAUCACGAGGGGAAGAUCCUUGUGAUCAAAGGAGCAAUUCGCUCAAGGAGGGGGUCGCGGCUGAUUAGCUAGUUGGCGGGGUAACGGCCCACCAAGGCUAAGAUCAGUAGCCGGCCUGAGAGGGCGCACGGCCACACUGGAACUGAAACACGGUCCAGACUCCUACGGGAGGCAGCAGUGGGGAAUUGUUCACAAUGGGCGCAAGCCUGAUGACGCAACGCCGCGUGGAGGAUGAAGUCCUUUGGGACGUAAACUCCUUUCGACCAAGACGAUAAUGACGGUACUGGUGGAAGAAGCACCGGCUAACUCUGUG
rnacentral:rRNA from 1 species